rnacentral:rRNA from 1 species
GACGAACGCUGGCGGCGUGCCUAAUACAUGCAAGUAGGACGCAGUUGCGAACGGGUGAGUAACGCGUAGGUAACUACCUAUUAGAGGGGGCUAACUAUGGGAAACGAUAGCUAAUACCGCAUACUAGUAGAUGGACCUGCGUUGUAUUAGCUAGUAGGUAGGGCAAUGGCCUACCUAGGCAACGAUACAUAGCCGACCUGAGAGGGUGGUCGGCCACACUGGGAACGAGACACGGGCCAGACUUCUACGGGAGGCAGCAGUAGGGAAUUUUGGGCAAUGGGGGGAAACCUGACCGAGCAAAGCCGGGUGAGUGAAGAAGGUUGUCGGAUCGUAAAGCUCUGUUGUUAAGGAAGCGGUACUUAACCAGAAAGGGACGGCUAACUACGUGCCAGCAGCCGCGGUAAUAC